CCUACGGGAGGCUGCAGUGGGGAAUAUUGGGCAAUGGGCGCAAGCCUGACCCAGCAACGCCGCGUGAAGGAAGAAGGCUUUCGGGUUGUAAACUUCUUUUCUCAGGGACGCAGCAACUGACGGUAGCUGAGGAAUAAGCCACGGCUAACUACGUGCCAUCAGCCGCGGCAAUACGUAGGUGGCAAGCGUUAUCCGGAUUUACUGGGUGUAAAGGGCGUGUAGGCGGGGAUGGAAGUCAGAUGGGAAAACCACGGGGUCAACCUAUGGCCUGGCUUUGAAACUGGGUUUCUUGAGUACUGGAGAGGCAGACGGAAUGCCUGGUGUAGCGGUGAAAUGCGUAGAUAUUAGGCAGAACACCAGUGGCGAAGGCAGUAUGCCGGACACCAACUGACGCUGAGGCGCGGAAGCGUGGGGAGCGAACAGGAUUAGAUACCCCUGUAGUC
rnacentral:rRNA from 1 species